rnacentral:rRNA from 1 species
GAUGAACGCUGGCGGCGUGCCUAAUACAUGCAAGUCGAGCGAACAGACGAGGAGCUUGCUCCUUCGACGUUAGCGGCGGACGGGUGAGUAACACGUAGGUAACCUACCUAUAAGACUGGGAUAACUUCGGGAAACCGGAGCUAAUACCGGCUAAUAUUUCGUACCGCAUGAUUCGAUAGUGAAAGAUGGCUUUGCUAUCACUUAUAGAUGGACCUGCGCCGUAUUAGCUAGUUGGUAAGGUAACGGCUUACCAAGGCAACGAUACGUAGCCGGCCUGAGAGGGUGAUCGGCCACACUGGAACUGAGACACGGUCCAGACUCCUACGGGAGGCAGCAGUAGGGAAUAUUCCGCAAUGGGCGAAAGCCUGACGGAGCAACGCCGCGUGAGUGAUGAAGGUCUUCGGAUCGUAAAACUCUGUUAUUAGGGAAGAACAAACGUGUAAGUAACCGUGCACGUCUUGACGGUACCUAAUCAGAAAGCCACGGCUAACUACGUG